rnacentral:lncRNA from 10 species
CACCACUCCUACCCCCUCCUCCUCUUACAGACUGUGCAUUUACCCUGUUUAGAAAAGUUUAAGUCUUAGCCAGUCAGGAUCAGUUUAGAUUGUGCAGUCCAACCCUAGACACAGGGACAGGAACUGCAUUAGGGAUAAAAACCACUUCUCUCCUUUGUUCAGUGUGCUCUUGCAAUCGUAACUGAUGCAGGCAGCACCCUUCUGCAGAAGCAAAUUGCCUUGCUGAGAAAAAUUUUGCGUAAGUGCUGGUUCUUCCCUGCAGCACCGAGCAUUUGUUUCCAACAAGCCUGGGGGCUCAUCUGGGAUUCCCAUUCUCCUCCAGGGAAGGGUCUCAGAUCACCUCUUGUGGGGAGAUACAUCCAGCUGCCUCAUUGUGGUGGUCUCAGGGGUAAGGAAUCGAGACCCAACCAGCGUGACAAAUAAACAUGGAUCCUCAGCAACAUGGGAAGAAAAGGCCUACAGAUACCGGGGUGACCAGGUAACUCUAUGCACAGACCAAGGUGUUGGCGAUACAGUGAUGAAUUACACAGACAUUGACUGCAUCAGUUUGAUAUAAAUAAGUAACCCAUGUUACGAUGGAGAACCAUCUCCACUGCAUGCCUGAAAAUAACAAGAAAUUUGGACACACAAAGAAAAGACACCAAGUGCACGAGUACCCAGAAGGACAACCAUGUGAAGAGGCAGUGAGAAGGUGCCACCUGCAAGCCCAGGAGAGAAGUUGCCACCUGCAAGCCCAGGAGAGAAGUUUUGGAAGAAACCACACCUGCUGACACCUUGGUCUCCAACUUCCAGUCCCAGAGUGAGAAGAAAAUAAAUUUCUGUUAUUUUUACCACCCAGUCUGUGAUCAUUUGUUACGGCACGUCUAGCAAACUAAUGUAGUCUUCCAGUAGGCUUUA